rnacentral:rRNA from 1 species
GUCCAGACUCCUACGGGAGGCAGCAGUGAGGAAUAUUGGUCAAUGGGCGCGAGCCUGAACCAGCCAAGUCGCGUGAGGGAUGAAGGAUCUAUGGUUCGUAAACCUCUUUUAUAAGGGAAUAAAGUGCGGGACGCGUCCCGCUUCGCAUGUACCUUAUGAAUAAGGAUCGGCUAACUCCGUGCCAGCAGCCGCGGUAAUACGGAGGAUGCGAGCGUUAUCCGGAUUUAUUGGGUUUAAAGGGUGCGUAGGCGGUAUUUUAAGUUAGUGGUAAAACGUCGGGGCUUCACCUUGAUUGGCCAUUAAAACUGGAGUACUAGAGUACAGACGAGGUAGGCGGAAUAAGUUAAGUAGCGGUGAAAUGCUUAGAUAUAACUUAGAACCCCGAUAGCGAAGGCAGCUUACCAGACUGUUACUGACGCUGAAGCACGAGAGCGUGGGUAGCGAACAGGAUUAGAUACCCUAGUA